GAUGAACGCUGGCGGCGUGCCUAAUACAUGCAAGUCGAGCGAACAGACGAGGAGCUUGCUCCUCUGACGUUAGCGGCGGACGGGUGAGUAACACGUGGAAAACCUACCUAUAAGACUGGGAUAACUUCGGGAAACCGGAGCUAAUACCGGAUAAUAUAUUGAACCGCAUGGUUCAAUAGUGAAAGACGGUUUUGCUGUCACUUAUAGAUGGAUCCGCGCCGCAUUAGCUAGUUGGUAAGGUAACGGCUUACCAAGGCGACGAUGCGUAGCCGACCUGAGAGGGUGAUCGGCCACACUGGAACUGAGACACGGUCCAGACUCCUACGGGAGGCAGCAGUAGGGAAUCUUCCGCAAUGGGCGAAAGCCUGACGGAGCAACGCCGCGUGAGUGAUGAAGGUCUUCGGAUCGUAAAACUCUGUUAUUAGGGAAGAACAAAUGUGUAAGUAACUAUGCACGUCUUGACGGUACCUAAUCAGAAAGCCACGGCUAACUACGUG
rnacentral:rRNA from 1 species